rnacentral:rRNA from 1 species
GAUAAACGCUGGCGGCGCACAUAAGACAUGCAAGUCGAACGAACUUAAUACCUUGCUUGCAAGGUAAGCGGUUAGUGGCGGACUGGUGAGUAACACGUAAGAAAUCUGCCUAUCAGAGGGGAAUAACAGUGAGAAAUCAUUGCUAAUACCGCAUAUGCCAUAGGAAUCGCAUGAUUCUAGUGGGAAAGGAGUAAUCCGCUGAUAGAUGAGCUUGCGUCUGAUUAGCUAGUUGGUGGGGUAAAGGCCUACCAAGGCGACGAUCAGUAGCCGGACUGAGAGGUUGAACGGCCACAUUGGGACUGAGAUACGGCCCAGACUCCUACGGGAGGCAGCAGUCGGGAAUAUUGCGCAAUGGAGGAAACUCUGACGCAGUGACGCCGCGUAUAGGAAGAAGGUUUUCGGAUUGUAAACCAUUGUCCAUAGGGAAGAUAAAAGACUGUACCUAUGAAGAAAGCUCCGGCUAACUACGUGCCAGCAGCCGCUGUAA